UACGUAGGUGGCAAGCGUUGUUCGGAAUUACUGGGCGUAAAGGGCUCGUAGGCGGCCAACUAAGUCAGACGUGAAAUCCCCAGGCUCAACCUGGGAACUGCGUCUGAUACUGGAUGGCUUGAAUCCGGGAGAGGGAUGCAGAAUUCCAGGUGUAGCGGUGAAAUGCGUAGAUAUCUGGAGGAAUACCGGUGGCGAAGGCGGCAUCCUGGACCGGCAUUGACGCUGAGGAGCGAAAGCCAGGGGAGCAAACGGG
rnacentral:rRNA from 1 species